rnacentral:lncRNA from 10 species
AUUUACCAGUGAAUCAGCCUGAAUUUGCUCCCUUCAAGAAGAAUGGUGCCUGUAUGUAAAAAUCACAAAGCAUGCACCGUUGGUGGCACUUGGUGGCUUAUUCAUUAUUCUGUUUGGUAGAUUGGAGAGGCAGAAGAAUAAAAAGAGUUAUUGUUCUCAUUUCCAUGUGAUUUGACUCAGGCAUGUUUAAAGAGUAGCUCUUGUACCAGGGAAAUGAAGAUUUGAUCCUGCACUGCUCUUAAGACACUCAGGAAUCUCUCCGUUACCUCAGAGAAUCUGGCCACAAACAGGACUCAGAGUGGAAAUUGCCCAACCUGUCUGCUAUCACUCUCUUGAAAGAGACAGAUCCGAUCAGCAUCUCUCAACUGUGACUCAUGAGGUAUUUUUGGCUAUGUCAAGAACAUUCUCAAACAAGGGCAGCAAAGGACCAUAAGCAAUUCUCCAAUGGUGAAGAUCGACCCCAGUCAUGUAAAAACACGAGGCAACACAUUUCACUUUUGCUUAAGAAGGAUCUUGCAGAAAGUGAAGAAGAGCAGGAAUAGAGAAGACAUUUGAAUGACGACUGAUGUUCUCUUCUUUGGCCUGAGGUUUUAGAACACAUUCACUGCCUGAUCACUGUGGCCCAGAAGCCAUGGCCUCUGCUGAGAGAUAGGGACCCCAUGUUCCCUCUACACAUCUUCUUCCCCAAAGCCUCUCUGAGGCUCCUAUGUUCAAAGAAACAGUCCUCUGGCAAUGGCCUGGUCCUUUCUGCCAUACCAAAGAAAGUUGUUUUUUGUUUUGAGCAAGAGAUCACUUCUGAUUUUCCUACCUUUGACAUGGACCAGACUAAUUGACAAAUUCUAGAAGGACAGACACUUCCAAACGUCUCUUGACAUACUGGCUUCACAAAGGUUAGGAAAGCUGUUAUGGGGAGGACGGAGCCUUUCUCCUCUUCCUGAGAACGUUUGAAGAAGAAAGGGGCUACUGAGAAGUCUGGUAGAUUCAGCAGCUAGUAAAUAUCGUGUCUAAAUGGGCAUCUUUUAUUAAACUCUGAGGCAGGGUUGGUGUGUUAGGCCAUUCUUUCUUGCUAUAAAGAAAUAUCUGAGACUGGGUAACUUAUAAAGAACAGAGGUUUAAUUGGCUCAUGGUUCUGCAGGCUGCACAGAAAGCAUAAUGACAUCUUCUUCUGGCUAGGCCUCUGGAAGCUUCCAAUGAUGGUGGAAGGCGAAGAGGGAACUUGCGCAUCACAUGGCAAAAGCAGGAGCAAGAGAGAGGCGAGGAGGUGCCGCACACUUUUAAAAGACCAGAUCUCAUGAAAACUCACUAUUGUGAGGACAGCACCAAGAGGAUCGUGCUAAAUUAUUCAAGAGAAAUCCUCCCCCAUGAUCCAGUCACCUCCCACCAGGCCCCACCUCCAACAUUGGGGAUUACAUUUCAACAUGAGAUUUGGAUGGAAACACAUUCAAGCUUUAUCAGCCCAGCUCCGGGAGUUCUUAAACUCAUAAGAAUCUAUGAGCUCCCAGAUUUAUGGGCCUUGAAAUAGACUUUGUCUAGAGGGCAGCGUCAGGGAAGCCAGAGAUUCCAAGCACAAGAAAGAUUUGAUGCAGCCUUGGUGACUUGGAGAUGGAAGGGGCCAUGAGGCAAGGAAUGUAGACAACUGUAAGUGUUGAAAGUGGACCUCAGCUGGCAGCCAGUAAGAAAAGAGGAACCUUCAGGCUACAACCUCAAGGGACAGAAUUCAGCCAACAUCCAGAGUAAGUUUAGAAAUGGACUUUUCCUCGGCGCCUCCAAAUAAGAGUCCAUUCUGACCUCUGCAUUGAUUUUAGGCUUAUAAGAUUAAGCAGGUGAUCCAGCCACACGGUUCUGGUCUUCUGAGCUCCCGGAGAAAUGCAUGUUGUUUGAAGCUGCUAAGUUUGUGGCAAUAUGUUACUCAGCAACAGAAAACUAAUAUACUUGGAAUAGAAUAUUCACUGUGAAUGAAGGAAGUUUUGAGCUCUAUAAAAAUGGAAAACUUUUAUCUUACUCUCACUUCCAACUAAUUUCCCAGAUGCAUUAUCACUUCAGAACAUUCUGCAGGGUAUUGGCGAUGAUUUUUCUUCUUUAUAGAGAUCCAGUAUUAAGUUAGAGAAUAAAUAGUGGUAAUAAUAAUAAUUAAUAAUAAUAUAGAUAACAUUUUGAGCGUGUUUAUCAUGUGCUAGCAUUUUGCUAAACACUUUAUCUGCAUUCUCUCAUAUAAUUCCCACAAUGGUCAUUUUAAGACAGAGAUUAUUACUAUUUUCAUUUUGUGUUUUCGGAAUUAGAGAAUUGCAGACAUGUAUAAAUCUUCAUAUAUAAACCUGUGAUAUUGUGGUAUAAUGGGAAAUAUAUAUUUUGUUUCUGCUCCUGGUUCCUGGCACAAAGCUACUAAAACCCUUGUAGUUUCCUGACUAAUAGGGGUGCUAGGUAUAUCUUUGGUUCUGAUAUUGGGUCUUUGAUUCCAGUUCCUGACAUGGUGCUCAUAAUCCCUUAGAAUUUUCUGGGUGAUACAUGUGUCUUUUUUUCUAAGGAAGUGACUCUUGAUGGGCUACUGGAUUGGAGCUUGUCACCAGAAAGACCAAGCCAUGAUUAGAAGCUUGGAACUUUCAGCCUCAGCCCCUAUCCUCCAGGAAGCAGAGAGGGGCUGGAGAUUGUUAAUAAUCAAUCUUGCCUAUGUGAUGAAGCUUCCAUAAAAAUCCCUGAAUUCUGGGGUUCAGAGAGAUGCAAGGUUGCUGAACAUGUGGAGAUGCUAGGAGGGUGGUGCCCUGGAAAGAGCAUGGAGGUUCAAGAGCCCCUUUCCCCAUACCUUGCCCUGUGUAUCUCACCCCCUCUGGCUGUUAAUCUGUAUCCUUAGUAAUAUUCUUUAUGAUAAAAUGGCAAGUGUAAAUAAAGUGUUUCCCUGAAUCCUAUGAGCCACUCCAGCUAAUUAAGCAAACCUGAGGGGGUUCUAGAAAACACCAAUUUAUAGCCCAUCAGUCAGAAGUUCUAGAGGCCCAUACUUGUGAUUAGCAUCUGGAGCGAGGGGCAGUCUUGCGGUGCUGAGUCCUCACCUUGUGAGAUCUGACUCCAACUCCAGGUAGGUAUUGUCAGAAUCGAGUUAAAUUGUAGGACACCCCAUUAGUGUCCACUGGAGAACUGCUUGCAGUGUAAGGGGAAAAUCCCACAAAUCUGGUGUCAACAGUCUUGUAAUGUUUUGUUGAGAAUAUAAUAGAAGAUGCUUAGUUCAUCUGUUUGUUUGUUUACUAUCAUACAGAACCAAAAUCCAGGUCUGUCUGAUCUUAAACCCAUUUGCCUGGUGGAAAGUUAUGGAUGGUGCUCAGAGUUCACUGUUCUCUUUCUGUUUCAUAUGCUCAGGUGUGUUGCUAAACAUGAGAUGCUGGGAAACUGAAAGGAAUACGUAAGAAAGAUGGCAACAAUUAAAAAAUGCAGAAUGAGGUUGAUCUAAAAUAAAAGUUGACAACCAAUGAAAUGGAGUCCUUAAAAUUCAUUUUUCAUAGAAGAACAGAUAACGGAAUUACAUACUUAAGAUAAAUAAUUGCCUGGGCUUGGUUUACUGAGAUUUUUUAACUGUGUUUUAUAUUUGUGAUUUAAAAAACUAUCAGGGAAGC